ACUAUUUUGGCAGAUAAGUGCAAUUGAUUUAGAAUCUUUAAAUAUAGUUUUCUAUAAAUAGUA
rnacentral:tRNA from 1 species